AACAAACCAAGUGCUUUACAACCUUGCUGCUCAAAGUGUGGUCCACAGACCAGCAGCAUCGCCUGGGAGAUGGAUCGAAAUUCUGAAUUUCAGGCUCUGCCCCAAACCUACUGAAUCAGGAUCUGCAUUUUAACAAAGUCCCAUUGAUUUGCAGGCAUAUUAAAGUCUGAGUGCCCUGCUUUAGUGAACAUAAAGUGAAGCUAAUUCAUACCGAAUUAUCGAGCUAUAAAAAGGGAAUGCCCAGCAGAAGCCAAGCAGUGCAGCUGAAGGCAGGGGAAAUUGUCAAGCCCUUUAGAAUCCAUGAAAGAAAUUCCAACGCAACAAAGAGAGCAGACACCUUCAUAGAACUCCCUCAUCCCACACAAGACGCAAGUCAGAAAAAACAAAUCUCUACUCAAUUGUCCUGCUGUCUGUGACCUGGGAAAAGAGACUGUCUGAGGGAUGAGUUGGGUCUCUUGUAACUGCAACAAAGUGAAUGUCUCCGGAUGUUCUAAAAGACCCUUCUCAGAGGCCCCAGGAACCUUCCUGCAAACCAAGACUUCCCUCCAGGCACCUUGUUUACCCCGAUGUGAC
ensembl:lncRNA novel transcript